rnacentral:rRNA from 1 species
CUACGGGGGGCAGCAGUGGGGAAUAUUGCACAAUGGAGGAAACUCUGAUGCAGCAACGCCGCGUGGAGGAUGACGCAUUUCGGUGUGUAAACUCCUUUUAUAUGGGAAGAUAAUGACGGUACCAUAUGAAUAAGCACCGGCUAACUCCGUGCCAGCAGCCGCGGUAAUACGGAGGGUGCAAGCGUUACUCGGAAUCACUGGGCGUAAAGCGCGCGCAGGCGGGUUUGUAAGUUGGAUGUGAAAUCCUAUGGCUUAACCAUAGAACUGCAUCCAAAACUACUUACCUAGAGUCUGGGAGGGGAAGAUGGAAUUAGUGGUGUAGGGGUAAAAUCCGUAGAGAUCACUAGGAAUACCAAAAGCGAAGGCGAUCUUCUGGAACAGUACUGACGCUGAGGCGCGAAAGCGUGGGGAGCAAACAGGAUUAGAUACCCCUGUAGUC